rnacentral:tRNA from 1 species
GGGGGGAUGGCUCGGUGGUUAAGAGCACUGGCUGUUCUUCCAGAGGACCCAGGUUCAAUUCCUAGCCCCCACA